AGAGUUUGAUUCUGGCUCAGAACGAACGCUGGCAGCGUGGAUUAGGCAUGCAAGUCGAACGGGAAGCCGGGGACCAAUCUUUCGAGAGAGUGAACCGGUAGAGAGUGGCGAAAGGGUGAUUAACGCGUGAGUAACCUACCCUUAAGUUGGGGACAACUCCUGGAAACGGGAGCUAAUACCGAAUGUGGUACUCCAGGGCAUCCUGGGGCUACUGAAGAUGGGGAUCCUUCGGGACCUGUCGCUUGAGGAGGGGCUCGCGUCCCAUCAGCUUGUUGGUGAGGUAAUGGCUUACCAAGGCUUACGGGUAGCCGGCCUGAGAGGGUGAUCGGCCACACUGGGACUGAGACACUGCCCAGACUCCUACGGGAGGCUGCAGUCGAGGAUCAUUCGCAAUGCGCGAAAGCGUGACGAUGCGACGCUGCGUGGAGGAUGACGGCCUUCGGGUUGUAAACUCCUGUCAUGAGGGAAAAGCCGGUUGAGGGAUAAUACCCCUUGGCCCCGAUGGUACCUCAAGAGGAAGCCACGGCUAACUCUGUGCCAGCAGCCGCGGUAAUACAGAGGUGGCGAGCGUUGUUCGGAUUUACUGGGCGUAAAGGGUGCGUAGGCGGCGUCGUGUGUCGGAUGUGAAAUCCCAUGGCUCAACUGUGGAAUUGCAUUAGAAACUGCGGCGCUAGAGGCCAGGAGGGGAGAGCGGAAUUCUUGGUGUAGCGGUGAAAUGCGUUGAUAUCAAGAAGAACACCGGUGGCGAAGGCGGCUCUCUGGAAUGGUUCUGACGCUGAGGCACGAAAGCUGGGGGAGCAAACAGGAUUAGAUACCCUGGUAGUCCCAGCCGUAAACGGUGUGCACUUGGUGUAGGGGGUAUUGACCCCCCCUGUGCCGGAGCUAACGCGUUAAGUGCACCGCCUGGGGAGUACGGCCGCAAGGCUAAAACUCAAAGAAAUUGACGGGGGCCCGCACAAGCGGAGGAGCAUGUGGCUUAAUUCGAUGCAACGCGAAGAACCUUACCUGGGUUUGACAUGGUGCUGCACGCCUCCUGAAAGGGAGGAAGCCUUCGAGGGUGCACCACAGGUGCUGCAUGGCUGUCGUCAGUUCGUGCCGUGAGGUGUUGGGUUAAGUCCCGCAACGAACGCAACCCUUGUGUUUAGUUGCCACCGGCGGUGAUGAGCCGUCGAGCACUCUAGACAGACUGCCCGUACAAGCGGGAGGAAGGUGGGGACGACGUCAAGUCAGUAUGGCCCUUACACCCAGGGCUGCACACGUGCUACAAUGGUCGGUACAGAAGGAGGCAAUACCGCGAGGUGGAGCAAAUCCUGAAAGCCGGCCCCAGUUCGGAUUGGAGUCUGCAACUCGACUCCAUGAAGUCGGAUUCGCUAGUAACGGCGUAUCAGCUACGACGCCGUGAAUACGUUCCCGGGCCUUGUACACACCGCCCGUCACAUCAUGAAAGCCGUCUGCACCCGAAGUCGCUGAGCCAACCAAUUUAUUGGAGGCAGGUGCCGAAGGUGUGGGUGGUGAUUGGGAUGAAGUCGGAACAAGGUA
rnacentral:rRNA from 1 species